rnacentral:rRNA from 1 species
UGAACGCUGGCGGCACGCUUAACACAUGCAAGUCGAACGGUAACAGCUCCCUCGGGAGGCUGACGAGUGGCGGACGGGUGAGUAAUGCAUAGGAAUCUGCCCAGUAGCGGGGGAUAACGCAGGGAAACUUGCGCUAAUACCGCAUACGCCCUACGGGGGAAAGCGGGGGAUCUUCGGACCUCGCACUAUUGGAUGAGCCUAUGUCGGAUUAGCUUGUUGGUGGGGUAAUGGCCUACCAAGGCUGCGAUCCGUAACUGGUCUGAGAGGACGACCAGUCACACUGGGACUGAGACACGGCCCAGACUCCUACGGGAGGCAGCAGUGGGGAAUAUUGGACAAUGGGGGAAACCCUGAUCCAGCGAUGCCGCGUGUGUGAAGAAGGCCUGCGGGUUGUAAAGCACUUUCAGAAGGGAAGAGGGUAAGUAUGGCUAAUAUCCAUGCCUACUGACGUUAUCUUCACAAGAAGCACCGGCUAACUCC